ACCUGUGACUGGAGUUCAGACGUGUGCUCUUCCGAUCUCGGUGGGAGCCUUCGGGUGACCGCGUGCCUUUUGCAUAAUGAGCCUACGAGUUACUCCUCACUAGCAAGAUUAAGAGAUUAAGUCUCGGAGUCGAAGCGAAAGCGAGUGUUAAAAGCGCGUUUAGUUAGUGGGGGUAGACGCGAAACCCGGUGAUCUACCCAUGGGCAGGUUGAAGCUUCGGUAAUACGAAGUGGAGGACCGAACCGCCAGACGUUGAAAAGUCUUCGGAUGACCUGUGGGUAGGGGUGAAAGGCUAAUCAAACCGGGAGAUAGCUCGUACUCUCCGAAAUGCAUUUAGGUGCAGCCUCGGAUUUAGUGUCAUAGAGGUAGAGCUACUGAUUGGGCUAGGGGGCUUCACCGCCUACCAAACCCUGACAAACUCCGAAUACUAUGACAUAUACCCGGGAGUGAGGGCAUGGGUGCUAAGGUCCAUGUCCGAGAGGGGAACAACCCAGACCAUCAGCUAAGGUCCCCAAAUAUCAACUAAGUUGUUUAAACGUGGUGUGAUUGCUUUGACAGCUAGGAUGUUGGCUUGGAAGCAGCCAUUCAUUUAACGAGUGCGUAACAGCUCACUAGUCGAGCGAUCAUGCGUGGAUAAUACACGGGCAUAAGUUGAUUACCGAAGCUAUGGAUUUAUGGUAGGAGAGCAUUGUAACAGCUUUGAAGCUGUGCCGUAAGGCAUGGUGGAGCGGUUACAAAAGAAAAUGUAGGCAUAAGUAACGAUAAAAUAGGUGAGAAACCUAUUCGCCAAUAGACUAAGGUUUCCUGAACAACGCUAAUCGGUUCAGGGUUAGUCGGACCCUAAGGUGAAUCCGAAUGGAGUAACCGAUGGAAAACAGGUUAAUAUUCCUGUACUAGCAAUAAUGCGAUGUGGGGACGGAGAUGUGUAGCUGCUAAAAGCUGACGGAAAUGCUGAGACCUAGCCUUCGGGCGAAGUUGCAGUAGUGAAUCAUCUUCCAAGAAAAGCCACUAAGCUCCAGUUAUCUGCUAUCCGUACCGCAAACCGACACAGGUAGUCAAGUAGAGUAUACUAAGGCGCUCGAGUGAAUCGUGGUUAAGGAACUAGGCAAAAUCGUCUCGUAACUUCGGGAGAAGAGACGCCAAUCUUCGGAUUGGCCGCAGUGAUUAGGCCCAAGCAACUGUUUAUCAAAAACACAUGGCUUUGCUAAAUCGAAAGAUGAUGUAUAAGGCCUGACGCCUGCCCGGUGCUGGAAGGUUAAGAGGAGAUGUUAGCUUUGCGAAGCAUUGAAUUGAAGCCCCAGUAAACGGCGGCCGUAACUAUAACGGUCCUAAGGUAGCGAAAUUCCUUGUCGGGUAAGUUCCGACCUGCACGAAUGGUGUAACGAUUUGGAUACUGUCUCAACCACGAGCUCGGUGAAAUUGUAGUAUCGGUGAAGAUGCCGAUUACCCGCAACGGGACGAAAAGACCCCGUGCACCUUUACUACAGCUUCACAUUGUGCUUGAAUAUAAGAUGUGUAGGAUAGGUGGGAGACUAUGAAGGUGUAUCGCUAGAUAUGCUGGAGUCAUCGUUGAAAUACCACCCUUCUUAUAUUUAGGUUCUAAUCUAUGAAAAUGGAGACAUUGUGUGGUGGGUAGUUUGACUGGGGUGGUCGCCUCCAAAAGAGUAACGGAGGCUUGCAAAGGUACCCUCAGCAUGGUUGGUAAUCAUGCAAAGAGCAUAUUAGUAUAAGGGUGCUUGACUGAGAGACCGACGGGUCGAACAGGUAGGAAACUAGGCUAAAGUGAUCCGGUAGUUCCGCAUGGAAGGGCUAUCGCUCAAAGGAUAAAAGGUACGCCGGGGAUAACAGGCUGAUCUCCCCCAAGAGCUCAUAUCGACGGGGAGGUUUGGCACCUCGAUGUCGGCUCGUCACAUCCUGGGGCUGGAGAAGGUCCCAA
rnacentral:rRNA from 1 species